CCCUCCCCGGUUUUACUUCUAAUCUACCUUGCCAACCUAGGGUUCUUCCUCGCCAUUCCCGUAGAGAUGGUUUUCAACCGCACCCUCGCUCUUUCUCUCUCUACUCCAUCUCCAUCUCCAUCUCCCUAUCUCUUUCUUCCGAUUUCUUCUACUUUUAAAAACCUUCUCCCCUCUUCGUUCUCUCCUCCGUCUCUCGCCGUCGCCUCCAUCGAAAACCGCGACGGAGGAGAUCGUAGUCGCCACCAUUGUUCAAGUUCGUUGAAAAGACGACCUCCACAUCGGAGCCACCGACGCAACGGAGUAUCCUGCAGUUCCAAUUCACCCUCCUCGAAAUGCAAAGACUUGAGAAUGCGUAAUUCAAUAAGGGCACAGGGUUUACAGGAGUAUCAAAAGCUCCUUGACAAUUUGAGCAAAUCUCUAUGAGUGUUUUUUUUCAAUAUUUGUUGGGUUUUUUAAAUUUAUUUUGCUUGAUUUCUGUAAUUUAAAAUGGAUACUUUCUAUGUUUUACAGUGAGCAACCAGUUGUAGGUUUCAAUCAAGUGGCAAAUCAUGCUCAUCAGUUUAAGGGGAGUAGUUCUAGCCUUAAGCCUUUUUUUUUAAAAAAAAUUAUACCCGGAUGAGUUUUACUAGGUGAUGCAAUUGUACAAAAUGGGGCAACAAGCAUGGUUGGGCAGUGCGUCAUUCAGCUUGCACGAAUUCAUGGUGUCCAUAGCAUCAACAUCAUUAGAGACAGGUGCGAGUCACAAAAUCAAAUCUGAGCUGUAACGAUGAAGGUUAUCAAAUCUGUAGUUGUUUUUCUGUUGCAUAAAAUUUCUAGGUUUUGUGUAAUUGCUGAUUAAAUUUUGUUUUUUUUACCAAAGCAAAAAAGUGGAAACCGGGUGUUGGAUUUAGUGUCAGAAACCUCCUAAAGGUGAGGUCUUUAGCUGGUUUUUUGGAUAAUUAAUACUUAAUAUUGUUGCUUUUGGAUAAUUAAUGCUUAAUUACAACUUUUAAAAUUCUUGGUUUUGUGUGUUUGAGCAGAAAAGUUGUUUUUCUUUGAUUUUUUUAGAAAAUUUCCAAAUCAAUUUUGUAGGAUUUAGUAUAUUACCAGCCUUAUAUGCUAAAUCUAGGUUGAUACAAGAAUGAGAAUCUCAGUAAUUAAGUCUGAUAUGCAACGUCUCUUAUGCAAUACCUUCUUAUUAUGAUAUUAUGAGAUUAUCAAUAAAUAGGUACGAUUAAGCUUUUGGCAUAUGUGGAUUCUUUAUAUAAAAGUUAA